rnacentral:rRNA from 1 species
GAGUUUGAUCAUGGCUCAGAUUGAACGCUGGCGGCAGGCCUAACACAUGCAAGUCGAACGGUAACAGGAAACAGCUUGCUGUUUCGCUGACGAGUGGCGGACGGGUGAGUAAUGUCUGGGAAACUGCCUGAUGGAGGGGGAUAACUACUGGAAACGGUAGCUAAUACCGCAUAACGUCGCAAGACCAAAGAGGGGGACCUUCGGGCCUCUUGCCAUCAGAUGUGCCCAGAUGGGAUUAGCUAGUAGGUGGGGUAACGGCUCACCUAGGCGACGAUCCCUAGCUGGUCUGAGAGGAUGACCAGCCACACUGGAACUGAGACACGGUCCAGACUCCUACGGGAGGCAGCAGUGGGGAAUAUUGCACAAUGGGCGCAAGCCUGAUGCAGCCAUGCCGCGUGUAUGAAGAAGGCCUUCGGGUUGUAAAGUACUUUCAGCGGGGAGGAAGGGAGUAAAGUUAAUACCUUUGCUCAUUGACGUUACCCGCAGAAGAAGCACCGGCUAACUCCGUGCCAGCAGCCGCGGUAAUACGGAGGGUGCAAGCGUUAAUCAGAAUUACUGGGCGUAAAGCGCACGCAGGCGGUUUGUUAAGUCAGAUGUGAAAUCCCCGGGCUCAACCUGGGAACUGCAUCUGAUACUGGCAAGCUUGAGUCUCGUAGAGGGGGGUAGAAUUCCAGGUGUAGCGGUGAAAUGCGUAGAGAUCUGGAGGAAUACCGGUGGCGAAGGCGGCCCCCUGGACGAAGACUGACGCUCAGGUGCGAAAGCGUGGGGAGCAAACAGGAUUAGAUACCCUGGUAGUCCACGCCGUAAACGAUGUCGACUUGGAGGUUGUGCCCUUGAGGCGUGGCCUCCGGAGCUAACGCGUUAAGUCGACCGCCUGGGGAGUACGGCCGCAAGGUUAAAACUCAAAUGAAUUGACGGGGGCCCGCACAAGCGGUGGAGCAUGUGGUUUAAUUCGAUGCAACGCGAAGAACCUUACCUGGUCUUGACAUCCACGGAAGUUUUCAGAGAUGAGAAUGUGCCUUCGGGAACCGUGAGACAGGUGCUGCAUGGCUGUCGUCAGCUCGUGUUGUGAAAUGUUGGGUUAAGUCCCGCAACGAGCGCAACCCUUAUCCUUUGUUGCCAGCGGUCCGGCCGGGAACUCAAAGGAGACUGCCAGUGAUAAACUGGAGGAAGGUGGGGAUGACGUCAAGUCAUCAUGGCCCUUACGACCAGGGCUACACACGUGCUACAAUGGCGCAUACAAAGAGAAGCGACCUCGCGAGAGCAAGCGGACCUCAUAAAGUGCGUCGUAGUCCGGAUUGGAGUCUGCAACUCGACUCCAUGAAGUCGGAAUCGCUAGUAAUCGUGGAUCAGAAUGCCACGGUGAAUACGUUCCCGGGCCUUGUACACACCGCCCGUCACACCAUGGGAGUGGGUUGCAAAAGAAGUAGGUAGCUUAACCUUCGGGAGGGCGCUUACCACUUUGUGAUUCAUGACUGGGGUGAAGUCGUAACAAGGUAACCGUAGGGGAACCUGCGGUUG